rnacentral:rRNA from 1 species
AUGAGCGACGGCCAGGGCAAUGCUCCUCCUGGAGGCUACUUCAUCGGCCGUCCAGCGAACACCGACGAGCCCAAGGAGAAAGAACCGCCGCAGGCCGUCCCUGAGCCUGCUCCAGCUGCGCUGAAUACUCCUGGCGAUUACUUCGUCGGCCGCCCGUCAAACCACGAGCAGAACACGGCAGCGCCGGCGGCUAAACCGGGCUUCUUGGCCAAAUUCUGUCCAUGCCUCGCCGGCGGUGGAGCCACCAGCUAG